rnacentral:lncRNA from 7 species
GUUUUGAGGGUUGCUCUUCCUUUUUACUGAAGUUAAAGAAUGAAAGGAAAUAGUUUUUCAGCAAAGGUUUUUCCAAGAUGACCCCAUAAAUACUGUAAGAUUACCGGGUAUUUUCACAGCUGGAAGAGUAGACCAUUAUAUUCCACACCAUGAGGGGAAGAAGGUGACCAGCACUUACGUGAUAAUGGUAACCUACUUAUGAAGUCUAAAAGAAGAAGAGCCUAUCCAUUUUCAUUCGGGACUAUACCUGAAGAGGCGUUUCCACUGCUCUGAUAUCCAGGAAAAGGAAAGAAGGAGAGGAGAGGAGAAGACUAAGAAUAUUGAUAAUGCAAAGGAGUUUCUGCUCUCAUUAAAGCCCCCCUGCUGCUGAGAUUUCAGGCAAUUUGCUAGUCAAUGUUAUUUCAAUAUCUGAUGAGAUCCAUUUGUUGGGAAAGAAUCCUCCUGAACUAUAAUCAUUGGGUUGUGGCUGUGGAUGGUAUAAUGACUCCCCCAGGGCUGCCUUUAUAGACAGCAUUAGGGUCUCCUGUGGUGUUCUUUGCUUAAUACAGAAGAUUUUGUAUCAGUAACAUACCUCUAAAACAGAAGAACUGUUAGCCAGUGAGAUACCAAUUGUAAGAGCUCGUUUUUCCCACGAGUUUUUUGUGCCAACCAACCUUGUGGCAGGGUGCACCCAACUCUGUCUAAGUUAAGAUUAGACUCUGUUGGUUGCUGAGUGUUUUGUGAAACAUAAAUACCAGUGUCAUGUCUGCUUUCCAGGUAUUCUCAGCAAAUCAUUAGUUGCUGAAUGCCAUUAACUGCUCAUAGGCUGGGGAAAUUUUGACUUUGCAAAUUUACACACAUCCAUGACAAUAUAAAUGGUAGCUAUGUGCCACAGAGCAAAGCAACUUUCAAGUAAUUAAAUUAAAAUUUUCGUCAAUUUUCUUCAAAAGCAACCUCUGCAAUGCAUGAAGAAACACAGCAAGUUCCAGUUUAUAGCCACAUGUGGUGCUUGGUCUGGCAGUAUCAGGACUCUUAAGUGUAUUCUCCCAGUGAAACAACAAACAUUGCUAACCAAAAAAUCUCAAACCUACUUGCAUUCUUUGUCCUGACAGUAUAAUACACAUAUAUGGACAAACAUUUCUGGAGGAGAAGAAUGUUAUAAUCUGAAAAAUCCCCACAUACUUCAGAAAUUCACACUGUAAUUUCUAAUGACUCAUUGAUGAAAUGUUGUUUAUAUAAAUUCUUUAAAUGAAUUCCUGCAGCAGAUGGAAUUUUCAGUUGCCCUAUUGCAAGUGUGUGUACCAGUGUAGAGGUGAGCAGAGUUUGAAGGAAACUAUCUCUAAGGAAACAUCUUUUAGGGUUCUUAGUGAUAUCAGGUGGCAGUCGAGGGGUGAUAAUAAAGGCCUGGAAAGUGCAGUCGCAGGACAACAUGAGAGGUGCUCAGACUAUAAACACACCUGCUUUUUAUUGAAUAGCACAAAUACAAGCUGGAGAGACUGAUUUUAGAUCAUGACAAAAAAGCAUAUUGUUUGGCUUAUCUGUGCUGAUUAAAGGCAUGAGAGAUGCUGAGGUGUUUAUCCUGGAGAGUGUUGAGGCAAACAGGUAUCUCCUGCUGGAGAUUCAUCAUAGAAUAUCCAGAGUUGGAAGGGACCCAUAAGGAUCAUCAAGUCCAACUCCUGUAUAUUGUGAAAGAUUGUAAUGUAAACCAGGAGCUUCCUGUUAGAUCUUUAGACAAGCUGUGUGUGCAGGGCUCGGGUACCUUGAUCAGGAACAGAACUGUGUAUCAGCACAUGAAAAUUAACUAUAAG